rnacentral:rRNA from 1 species
UACGUAGGGUGCGAGCGUUAAUCGGAAUUACUGGGCGUAAAGCGUGCGCAGGCGGUCUGUUAAGACAGAUGUGAAAUCCCCGGGCUUAACCUGGGAACUGCAUUUGUGACUGGCAGGCUAGAGUAUGGCAGAGGGGGGUAGAAUUCCACGUGUAGCAGUGAAAUGCGUAGAGAUGUGGAGGAAUACCGAUGGCGAAGGCAGCCCCCUGGGCCAAUACUGACGCUCAUGCACGAAAGCGUGGGGAGCAACAGG